AGUUGGAAUCGCUAGUAAUCGCGGAUCAGCAUGCCGCGGUGAAUACGUUCCCGGGCCUUGUACACACCGCCCGUCACACCAUGAGAGUCGGGAACACCCGAAGUCCGUAGUCUAACCGCAAGGGGGACGCGGCCGAAGGUGGGUUCGAUAAUUGGGGUGAAGUCGUAACAAGGUACC
rnacentral:rRNA from 1 species